rnacentral:misc_RNA from 1 species
AAACAAUCGAAGCAAAUUCCACGGACAGAAAAUUAUAGAGAAAGGGGGUUUUUCGUGGAGAGCCCAAAAACCCAUUCUGGAAGCAAAGAAGCAGAAACAAUGGAAGAAGAACGUGCGAAACCAGUUUGCGCACAAGAGGCGCUGGAUCUGCUCAACUGCGUGGCUCAAUCGCCAUAUGAUCAAGAAAAAUGUGUCCGUCUCUUGCAAACUUUGAGAGAAUGUGUGCUCAAUAAGAAAGUGAAGAAGUUCUCUCUAGUUGAUCAGGAUCAGCCGGAAGGAAAACCAGUUGUGAAGGAAGCUUGAUAAGUAUUCUAUACUGCUAGGAAUUUUUUCUAAUCUUGAGGCCUGGUCUCAUGUUACCCUCUGUCAUGGGUACCUGUUGUUACUUGCAUGCUAUUAAAAAAACUAUUCUAAGUUGUAAAAGAAGCUAACCUCAUUUGCUUUGGAAUGGGAACUUAAUUGAAAGUUAUUCAAGAAGGCUGAGUUCUAACUUUUUGGAAUGAUCCAUAUGAAUUUUGAACUCUAUUUGGUUUGGUUUUCUUUUCUGUCUUGUGUAGGCGUGUGCAUUGUGUUAAAUAUUGAAACUUCCUUCCAGGGAAGAGAAGAGAAUACAUGAAUAUUCUUAAUA